AUUGAACGCUGGCGGCAUGCUUUACACAUGCAAGUCGAACGGCAGCGCGGGGCAACCUGGCGGCGAGUGGCGAACGGGUGAGUAAUAUAUCGGAACGUACCCAAGAGUUGGGGAUAACGUAGCGAAAGUUACGCUAAUACCGCAUACGACCUAAGGAUGAAAGCGGGGGAUCGCAAGACCUCGCGCGAUUGGAGCGGCCGAUAGCAGAUUAGCUAGUUGGUGGGGUAAAGGCCCACCAAGGCGACGAUCUGUAGCUGGUCUGAGAGGACGACCAGCCACACUGGGACUGAGACACGGUCCAGACUCCUACGGGAGGCAGCAGUGGGGAAUUUUGGACAAUGGGCGCAAGCCUGAUCCAGCAAUGCCGCGUGCAGGAUGAAGGCCUUCGGGUUGUAAACUGCUUUUGUACGGAACGAAACGGCCCUUUCUAAUACAGGGGGCUAAUGACGGUACCGUAAGAAUAAGCACCGGCUAACUACGUGCCAGCCGCCGCUGUAA
rnacentral:rRNA from 1 species